ACAUACUGUAACAAUGAAGGUAAAUAAGUUGCAAAAGGUGAGAGCUUGUGGAAUACAAUGUGAGAACUUGCAGAACAAAGAAUCUGAACUUGUAUGUUAAAAUGUGUACUUGUAAAAAUAAGAUUUGCACUUGUAAA